UCUGAAACCUCCUCUCCUCUUCGUUUUCCUUCAAUCUCUCUCAGCAAAACGUGGAUGGAAACCUCUUCUCAUCUUCGUGUUCCUCUCAAUCGAAUCGAAGGCUUCAUCACUCUCAGAACCGCGAUCUCUUUCCAAAUGCAAGCUCACCCAGCCAUGGAUUGAAGGUUAUUAAGUAAAUAUGCAACAGUCAAAGUGAAAUGUGUUGAUUGCAUUUGACAAAUUUUAACCAGAUACAAUCAUGUUUCCUUCUGUUUGGCAUUGCUGAGCGAUCUCUUCUCUCUUUCUUAUCUUGCAACAGAUACUGUAAGACUUCUAGCUUGGGCUGAGAAUCCAGUUGAUUUUGUGCAUACGCAUAGGAUGGUUCUGGAGAGUGAGUAUGUAUCUGCUCAUUUACAUGAAUGGGUUGACCUCAUAUUUGGCUAGGUCUUUUUAAGACUUUUCAGUUUCUCAUCCUACUUUUGCUGUUUGCAGUAAAGUCGUGCACCUACUUCAAAGCUUCCUCUUGUUUAUUUUCACUUGUACACAAUAUUUUCAAGAGUGAUUUGUUGCCAUUAUAUUUAAUCGUUUCAUUUCAUUUCAUUUUUCUUCACUAGCAAGCAAUGUUCCCUAACACUGUAUGCAUGUUACUUUAUUUUAAUGAACAUUCUAUGCAUGAAGGGUUUAUGAACAUGGUAUUGGCUAAUUGUGUAUUCCUUGGAUUUAUGAACUAUGUAAUCUGUUUCAUUCUUUCCAUGUGAGUAAGGGAAAGCUUUAUACCAUUACCAGCUUAGGUUUUCAUAAUGUAAAUGAAAAUCUGAACUGUCAGUGUGUACCUGCAUUCAUAG